GAUGAACGCUAGCUACAGGCUUAACACAUGCAAGUCGAGGGGUCUUUAGGGCUUGCUCUAAAGACGACCGGCGCACGGGUGAGUAACGCAUAUUCAACCUGCCCUUCAUAUUGGGAUAGCCUUCCGAAAGGGAGAUCAAUACCGAAUAACAUGAUGUUUUUGCAUGAUUUCAUCAUGAAAGCUCCGGCGAUGAAGGAUGGGGAUGCGUUUCAUUAGGUAGUAGGCGGGGUAACAGCCCACCUAGCCGACGAUGGAUAGGGGUUCUGAGAGGAAGGUCCCCCACACUGGAACUGAGACACGGUCCAGACUCCUACGGGAGGCAGCAGUGAGGAAUAUUGGUCAAUGGACGGAAGUUUGAACCAGCCAAGUAGCGUGAAGGAUGACUGCCCUAUGGGUUGUAAACUUCUUUUGCCGUAGAACAAAACAUGCCACGUGUGGCAUUUUGCGUGUAUACGUUGAAUAAGCAUCGGCUAACUCCGUGCCAGCCGCCGCAGUAAUAC
rnacentral:rRNA from 1 species